rnacentral:lncRNA from 1 species
CUAGCACUUUAUUUUAAGAAACUGCCAAACAUCUUCACUGUGUUCUCUGCUUUCCACUUGUCAUUUUUAUAUAAAUAUGGAAGCAUUUAUUUUAUUUCUUUUCCUACUGCUGGAACACACACAGUUUAAUUUUUAGAUCCACAGUGUAUUAUGCUUUAAUGUUGUGAUGUAAAGUAAUCGUUCUGGCCUUGGAAAAUCUUCCUGUUUCCAUACCUCUGUUCUCCCAGGGGCCAGACCCCAUUAACAUCAGCGUUACUGAAUGAGCACAGUGUGUUGUGGAACCUUAUCAUGAGGCUGCUGGACAUGGACACCCCAUCGCCCCAACCUAACUUUUUGUAAGUCAUCACCUGGAAGCAAGGUUAGAAAAGGGUCAGUUUAAAUGUUCUGAGUUGAAAAAAAUGUGACUGUAUUGUCAAAUUGUUGUUAGACAUAAUUGUAUUGGGCGACUAGACGAUUGCUUCACAUGCUUUAAAAUGACAUUGAGAUUUUUAGAAGGUGACUUUGCACACAGUGACUUAAUAUUUAUCAAGUGAAUUUACAAUAACCAGCAGCAGACGAACUGCAGAAAAGACUUCAUGGGUUUUGAUCAUAGGGAAACAUCUGAAGU